rnacentral:rRNA from 1 species
UGGGGAAUAUUGCACAAUGGGCGAAAGCCUGAUGCAGCAACGCCGCGUGAGUGAUGAAGGCCUUCGGGUUGUAAAGCUCUGUCUUUUGGGACGAUAAUGACGGUACCAAAGGAGGAAGCCACGGCUAACUACGUGCCAGCAGCCGCGGUAAUACGUAGGUGGCAAGCGUUGUCCGGAUUUACUGGGCGUAAAGGAUGCGUAGGCGGAUUUUUAAGUGAGAUGUGAAAACCCUAAGCUUAACUUGGGGGACUGCAUUUCAUACUGGAAAUCUAGAGUGCGGGAGAGGAGAAUGGAAUUCCUAGUGUAGCGGUGAAAUGCGUAGAGAUUAGGAAGAACACCAGUGGCGAAGGCGAUUCUCUGGACCGUAACUGACGCUGAGGCAUGAAAGCGUGGGUAGCAAACAGGAUUAGAUACCCUGGUAGUCCACGCCGUAAACGAUGAGUACUAGGUGUAGGAGGUAUCGACCCCUUCUGUGCCGCAGUUAACACAAUAAGUACUCCGCCUGGGAAGUA